UUACGGUCACAUCUCGUUGAAACACCGAUACCUGUACGAUCACCGAAGUUAAGCAACGUCGAGUCUGGUCAGUACCUAGAUGGGUGACCGCUUGCGAAUACCAGGUGAU